rnacentral:rRNA from 1 species
AGUCGCGAACGGCUGAGUAACACGUAGGAAUCUACCUUAUAGUGGGGAAUAGUCUGCCGAAAGGCAGUUUAAUACCGCAUAAUCCCUCAGGGGGAAAGGCAUUUAUGUCGCUAAAAGAGGAGCCUGCGGGCCAUCAGUUUGUUGGUAGGGUAACGGCCUACCAAGACUACGACGGCUAGGGGACAUGAGAGUGUGUACCCCCAGAAUGGUACUGAGACACGGACCAUACACCUACGGGUGGCAGCAACCGGGAAUCGUGCGCAAUGGACGAAAGUCUGACGCCGCGACGCCGCGUGAUGGAUGAAGGCCUUCGGGUCGUAAACAUCUUUUGCAGUUUGGGAGACCAAACUGAGAAUAAGCCCCGGCUAACUUCGUGCCAGCAGCAGCGGUAAUACGAAGGGGGCAAGCGUUGCCCGGAUUUAUUGGGCGUAAAGUGUUUCGUAGGCGUUCUUGUAAGUUACUUUUCAAAGCCCGGGGCUUAACUCCGGAAAGGGAAGUAAUACUGCAAGAAUUGAAGAAUAUUGGGGCAACUGGAAUUGUCGGUGUAGGGGUGAAAUCCGUUGAUAUCGACAAGAACUCCGAAGGCGAAGGCGGGUUGCUAAAUAUUUCUUGACGCUGAGGAACGAAAGCUAGGGGAGCGAAACGGAUUAGAGACCCGUGUAGUCCUAGCCGUAAACGAUGCU